rnacentral:lncRNA from 1 species
CUAGGUUGGCGAUCCCCCAGUCGGUCGUCCCUGUGUUGGAGUUAUCUUUCAUAGCUAGUUAUGAGUUUAUUUUCCGUUUGUCGCAGACUUUGAUAUAUUUGUGUUGUAAUAACGUUUUGUAAGACACUUGUUAUGAUACAUUUGUAAUUUGUCGACUUGUGUGCGCGACUAUUCCUGGGGCGCAUACGAGAUUAUUGUACUCAAAUUUAUCCUUAAAUUUGGGUGUGACAGAUCAUACGGGCGACCACGGAAGGCACUGCAGUCUACAGAACCGGGCAAUAUCUAAACUAAUAAAGCCAAUAUGGCCACACGUAGUGCUAGCCCAAAGUCAGGACCCAAGGGUGCCCCGGUGUCAUCUAGCUAAAAUCACUCGUGCAGUAGUCUUGAAGUCCUCUCUCCUUUCCUUCUCAUAUAGAAAUUUCUUAUCUUCUAAUUUUCUUUGUACGUUGAGUCAAGCAGCGGGUCAACUUUAAACUUCUAUGUAAAUGCAAGGAUAGAGGUCAAAGUGACAGCAAAUGGAAGUUGGAACCGUGAGAGAUUUUUCUAAUGACAGUUAAUGUGGAUUCCAUCCUUCUGCGUACUAUGGCGAUUAUAGUAUUCGCUACAGCAACCCCACUUUGCGGAGUGUGGAACACUUUGCCAAGUGCUAAAUAUCUGACACUGGACAGAGACUAAAUUUAUUUUUUUGAAAGGCGGCAAGAGCUUUGCCGUAUUUUUAUUAGACGAGAAAAAAGAAAAACAGAAAAUAUUUACAAAAACUUACAUAGCAACUCGACUUUAAACUACUAUGGCACACAUGCCAAAAGCCAAAAGACUAACAAAAGGAAAAAAAAGUAACCGGUUCCAAACCACUGUAUUGUACUGUAUUGCACUAGUAUAAACACCUACUCAACUAUAGUGCUAUCGAGUGCCACACUUGCUUUGAAACACAGCACUCGCACUACCAAAACUGAGUAUCCCCUUGACGGCCAGCAAUUUUUUUAAGGGGCGAAAUUAAACCCCCAAAGAUAUAUAAUUACCUUGAGGGUUGUAUAAAACCCCCAAGAAAAUGCAUAUUCUUGAGUGCUAAACCAAACCGCCAAGUUAAUUCUGUAUUUCCUUGAGUGCUAGUCGAAGCCGUCAAGGUAAUUCUAUAUUUUCUUGAGUGUUAUUAUAAAUCACCAAAGGUAAUUCACAUUUCGUUGGGUGUAACUAGAA